GAUGAACGCUGGCGGCGUGCCUAAUACAUGCAAGUCGAGCGAACGGACGAGAAGCUUGCUUCUCUGAUGUUAGCGGCGGACGGGUGAGUAACACGUGGAUAACCUACCUAUAAGACUGGGAUAACUUCGGGAAACCGGAGCUAAUACCGGAUAAUAUUUUGAACCGCAUGGUUCAAAAGUGAAAGACGGUCUUGCUGUCACUUAUAGAUGGAUCCGCGCUGCAUUAGCUAGUCGGUAAGGUAACGGCUUACCAAGGCAACGAUGCAUAGCCGACCUGAGAGGGGAAACGGCCAAACGGGAAAGGAGACAGGGUCCAAACCCCAAGGGGAGGAAGAAGGGGGGAAUUUUCCGAAAGGGGGGAAAGCCGAACGGAGCAACGCGGGGGGGGGGAGGAGGGUCUUGGGAUGGAAAAACUUUGUUAUUAGGGAAAAAAAUAGGUGAAAGAAACUGGGCACAUUUGGAGGGUCCAAAAUAAGAAAACCAGGGCAAAUUAGGG
rnacentral:rRNA from 1 species